rnacentral:rRNA from 1 species
AAAGAGAUCUCGUUCCGAGUGAUCUUUCCCGAGUUAGUGGCGGAUGGGUGAGUAACGCGUGAGUGACCUGCCCGGCGGUGGGGAAUAACACUGAGAAAUCAUUGCUAAUACCGCAUAGCUUACAAGUGCUUCAUGGUACCUGUAAGAAAGACGGCCUUCGUGCUGUCGCUGUUGGAUGGACUCUCGUCUGAUUAGCCAGUUGGUGGGGUAACGGCCUACCAAAGCAAUGAUCAGUAGCCGGCCUGAGAGGGUGAACGGCCACAUUGGGACUGAGACACGGCCCACACUCCUACGGGAGGCAGCAGUGGGGAAUCUUCCGCAAUGGGCGCAAGCCUGACGGAGCAAUGCCGCGUGAGUGAAGAAGGCCUUCGGGUUGUAAAACUCUGUCCUCAUCCAAGAGAAGGAAAGGUAGUAACUGGCCUUUCCAGGACGGUAGAUGAGGAGGAAGCCCCGGCUAACUAUGUGCCAGCAGCCGCGGUAAAACAUAGGGGGCAAGCGUUGUCCGGAAUCACUGGGCGUAAAGGGCGCGCAGGCGGUCUGUUAAGUCAGAUGUGAAAGGUUAGGGCUCAACCCUGAACGUGCAUCUGAUACUGGCAGACUUGAGUAUGGAAGAGGUAAGUGGAAUUCCUAGUGUAGCGGUGAAAUGCGUAGAUAUUAGGAGGAACACCAGUGGCGAAGGCGACUUACUGGGCCAUAACUGACGCUGAGGCGCGGAAGCGUGGGGAGCAAACAGGAUUAGAUACCCUGGUAGUCCACGCCGUAAACGAUGGGUACUAGGUGUCGGAGGUUUCAAGACUGUCGGUUCCGCAGUUAACACAAUAAGUACACCGCCUGGGGAGUACGGUCGCAAGACUG